AGGGUAUGCAUCGCCGUUCGAUGGGUAUAAGACACGUCAAGAUCGAAGCCGAAGCGACCGAGGUCCCAUGGCGUCGUUAUCCCUCUCGACCACGCGCCUCCUCUUCCUACGCCGCUCGCCGCCGCCGCAGCAGCUCCCCUGCCCGAGCCAUGGACUCGCUGCCCCUGUCACCUGCGGCCCCCGCGACAACCGCGGGAAGCUCCUCCGUGGCCGGACCCUCAGCACGGAGGCCAUCCUGGCCGUCCAGGCCCUCAAGCGCGCCGCGGCCGCGGGCGACGAGGCCAGGGUCCACCGCAUCAUCUCCGUCGACCUGGGUCGCCUCAUCAAGGCUGACCUCCUUGCGGCACUCGCGGAACUCCAGCGCCAGAACGAGUGGGGCCUCGCCUCGAAGGCCUUCGCGGCCGCCCGCCGGGAGCCGUGGUACCGGACUGACCUCGCCCUCUACGCCGAGAUGGUGUCCAGCUUGGCAAGGUGCGGUGCGUCGGAUGAAAUCGAUGCCCUGGUGGCCUGUCUGCUUGAGGAUGAGGAGGGAUGGAUCUCCUCUGAGAAUACCAAGGAGAUUUCUCGGUUCGUUAGGGCUUUGAUGGCGGCUGAAAAGGCGAAGCUUGUGAGAGAUGUUUACGGGAAUUUGAAGAGCGGGGGAUUCGAGCCGGACGAGUUCUUGUUUAAGUUUCUGAUAAGAGGGUUGAGGAGAUUGGGGGAGGAUGCUGCUGCUGAAGAGGUGGAGAGAGAUUUUGAGGUGUGGUACGAGUGUGGAAGUUUGCCCAUGGAGCCGCUGCCUGUUUGAUGAAAUGCUUGAACGAACAUUAAAUAGGAGAUUAUAUACAUGAACUAGUGGGAUGCCUUGGAAGAUGAUUAUCUAAUAGAUUCCACCUCAUAAUGAAGAGGAUCAUGGAGCACAGGGGAAGUUAGCAUGGGAUGCAGAUGGGACCAAGCGUCUGAAGGUCGUGAUUGCAACCCUCAACUGGUUCGAUCAUCCGUAGCUUGAACUAAAUGGGUAAAUUUGCAAUCCUUAUGGAAGUUUGGAGGGCUAAACCUU